GGAACUCUGAUGCAGCGACGCCGUGUGAGCGAUGAAGGUAAUUCGUUUCGUAAAGCUCUGUUCUAGUAGGGAAGAAAAGGACUGUACCAUAGGAGAAAGCCCCGGCUAAAUACGUGCCAGCAGCCGCGGUAAUACGUAUGGGGCGAGCGUUUGUCCGGAAUUAUUGGGCGUAAAGGGUACGCAGGCGGUUUUGCCAAGUUGGAUGUGAAAUCUUGUAGCUCAACUACAAACGUGCAUCCAAAACUGGCUAACUUGAGUUAAGGAGAGGUAAGUGGAAUUCCUGGUGUAGCGGUGGAAUGCGUAGAUAUCAGGAGGAAUACCGGUGGCGAAGGCGACUUACUGGACUUAUACUGACGCUGAGGUACGAAAGCGUGGGGAGCAAACAGGAUUAGAUACCCUGGUAGUCCACGCCGUAAACGAUGAGUGCUAGGUGUCGGGGGUCAAACCUCGGUGCCGACGUUAACACAUUAAGCACUCCGCCUGGGGAGUACGUGCGCAAGCAUG
rnacentral:rRNA from 1 species